AAUUGUCCAGGUGCUCUUAAUUUUUUGUUGGAAUGAUAUAGAGAAGAUUAGUGUGGUGCCUGCACAAGGAUGACACACAAACUCCUGAAGCCUUAAGGUUAGAG